rnacentral:rRNA from 1 species
AUUGAACGCUGGCGGAAUGCUUUACACAUGCAAGUCGAACGGCAGCACGGACUUCGGUCUGGUGGCGAGUGGCGAACGGGUGAGUAAUGUAUCGGAACGUGCCCAGUCGUGGGGGAUAACGUGGGGAAAAUUACGCUAAUACCGCAUACGAUCUAUGGAUGAAAGCGGGGGAUCGCAAGACCUCGCGCGAUUGGAGCGGCCGAUAUCAGAUUAGGUAGUUGGUGGGGUAAAGGCCCACCAAGCCAACGAUCUGUAGCUGGUCUGAGAGGACGGCCAGCCACACUGGAACUGAGACACGGUCCAGACUCCUACGGGAGGCAGCAGGGGGGAAUUUUGGACAAUGGGCGAAAGCCUGAUCCAGCCAUUCCGCGUGCAGGAUGAAGGCCCUCGGGUUGUAAACUGCUUUUGUACAGAACGAAAAGGUUUCUACUAAUACUAGGAGCUCAUGACGGUACUGUAAGAAUAAGCACCGGCUAACUACGUGCCAGCAGCCGCGGUAA